UUACCAGACUCCUACGGGAGGCAGCAGUGGGGGAUAUUGCACAAUGGGGGGAACCCUGAUGCAGCGACGCCGCGUGGGUGAAGAAGUAUUUCGGUAUGUAAAGCCCUAUCAGCAGGGAAGAAAAUGACGGUACCUGAGUAAGAAGCCCCGGCUAACUACGUGCCAGCAGCCGCGGUAAUACGUAGGGGGCAAGCGUUAUCCGGAUUUACUGGGUGUAAAGGGAGCGUAGACGGCAGUGCAAGUCUGGAGUGAAAGGCGGGGGCUCAACCCCCGGACUGCUCUGGAAACUGCGUCGCUGGAGUACGGGAGGGGCAGGCGGAAUUCCUGGUGUAGCGGUGAAAUGCGUAGAUAUCAGGAGGAACACCGGCGGCGAAGGCGGCCUGCUGGACCGUGACUGACGUUGAGGCUCGAGAGCGUGGGGAGCAAACAGGAUUAGAUACCCUAGUA
rnacentral:rRNA from 1 species